rnacentral:misc_RNA from 1 species
UUUCCGUAGGUGAACCUGCGGAAGGAUCAUUAUCGUACAAAAUGUGUGAGGCAUGCAAGGGUUGUCGCUGGCUUUCAACGUUGUUGCACGCCGGAGCGUGUCCUCUCACUUAACACAAUCCAUCUCACCCUUUGUGCACCACCGCGUGGGCACCCUUUGGGAUCGGACCGAUCUCUUAGGGGACUCGCGUUUUCACACAACACCCUUUUAAAAAGUGUAGAAUGACCUCAUUUAUGCGAUCAAUACAACUUUCAACAACGGAUCUCUUGGCUCUC